UACGGGGGGGGUAAGCGUUGUUCGGAAUUACUGGGCGUAAAGGGCUCGUAGGCGGCCAACUAAGCCAUACGUGAAAUCCCUCAGCUUAACUGGGGAACUGCGUGUGAUACUGGAUGGCUUGGAUUUGGGAGAGGGAUGCGGAAUUCCAGGUGUAGCGGUGAAAUGCGUAGAUAUCUGGAGGAAUACCGGUGGCGAAGGCGGCAUCCUGGACCGAUAUUGACGCUGAGGAGCGAAAGCUAGGGGAGCAAACAGG
rnacentral:rRNA from 1 species